AUCUGAAGCCUGAAUUUUGCAACUGUCCAAUAAUUAUGUGUUUUAUUUUUCAGAUGGGCUGAGCAACCUCGGCUGUGGAGUUGUGGAUGCCCAGAACUUCAGAUUCAAAACCAGGGCCAGUGAUACGUCACUCGGGAUGCUAAUCUGGAUGCAGAGAAAGACUAACAUACUGGGCCAGAAGUAAUGAUCCAGAUUGAUGCAUGUAUAAGAAGAUACUAUAAGAAGAUAAGUAAUAUACAC